GCUUCAAGGGAGUGAUCUUCUUCUGGAUAAUGGCACUGCAUUCAUGACUCAAUAUCACCAUACCCUGGACUUCUUUUUUUCUCUCCAUAACCAAAUCUUUGAGGAACUUCUGAUAAGGAGGGACAAGUGCGAAUGCAUCCAGCAAUGGCAUUCUCAACUCAAUCUCUCUCACUUGCUUUUCAAAUAAAGCCUUAUACUUCUCAGUUUGCUGCUUUUCGAAUCGUCC
rnacentral:lncRNA from 1 species